rnacentral:sRNA from 1 species
CGGGUGUGCGCCGGAAGAGCAGCGCCGCAGUAGCAGCACACGGGACCGAAAUGGCGUAACGCGCAGUCGAGCACCGCAGCAGCGCAGAGGGGCCAGGCUCAGCGAACACCACAGAGCCUGGCCCGAACAACUUCAACCAGCAAAUUUGUUGAAAAUUACUCUUCACUCCAGUCCACAUGUUUCCAAACCAGCACGAGAUCACCGCUGACGUGCCCCUCAUUUGUCAUAUCAAGAAGAGAAAAGAACAGUCCUGAAGGGAACACACGACCAGAUGAGACCAUCUUGUCUUUGUUCUUCAAACCGCCCUUCAUCCUGAUAAGUUGACCUUCCUCCAGCGUUAUUUCAGGGAAGUGUUUGUUCAGCAUACCAAGCCAAGUGUUACUGGUCUAUGAACAUAUCAUCUCUGCACUUUGGAGAAGACAACUGAAGUUUUUUUUAAUUCACAUAAACUCCCCCACAAACUCUUCUUGUGUUCAAAAAAGCUAAAUGACAACACAAUUGUGCCACAACAUGGUGCCAUCGACUGGUCAUAUUGUUCAGAAUAAAUCAAAUAUGGUUGCAGUUUUUGUUAAAUGAAGAUAAAAAUGCAGAAAAAAAUGCACAUUUAAAAUCUAAAUCAUGCAAGCAAGAAGACAGAGCUACAUCCAACAGUUUUAUUAUCUGCAGAUUAAGUGCCUAGACGAGUCUCUUUUUAAUAGCUCCUGCCUCAAUUUCCAUGGCUUCGCUCUAAAGUAAAGCACUUCUUUGGACAUUUUAGUCUUUCAAAUGGCUGAAAAUGUAGUUUCUGAGACGACAAACUGUAGACAGCUAGCUGUUCUCUUAAUUCACAACUCAUAUUGGUGCUUUAGCAAAACCAUGACCCAUGCUUUCAUGUUUUCUACAGUAUAUACUUGUACUGACAAACCAAGACAGGCAGUGGCAUAACAACCCAAAAAAAACAUAAGCUUUAUAAAUCCCACAGUUAAACCUUUCUAGCGGGGUGCUAUUGAGUUGCAGGAUGUUAUGAAAAAUAGUUAUUUUACUACCUCAGAAGUUACCACAGCUCAGAGCCACACUUGGAUCAAACUAUAAGAGCAUGCUUGUCUUUUUUGUUUGCAGUAAAAUAAAUAUAGUCGUUAUAGUCUGUCUAAUGGCUUGGUAAUCUGAUGAGAAGAGGAAUUAAUUUUUCUUUUGUAUGUGUGAAAUAUCGUAUUGAGACUGUAUGUUCUCCAGAAUAAGAUAAACAUCAUGUUCAUCCAUUAACGUUAUGCCUGAAGAAAGGCAGUAAAAUGGUUAAAUGAUCAUAACAUCUUUAAAUAGUUGCUAAUAGUCUAAUAUGUUGGACAGUAAGACUGGUUUCUAGUUAUCUGCUAUAGAGCACUGUGAAAAUAGGAAUUUCUCUUCAUCUGUUGUGACACUACAUCUUUUUUGUUGUUGUUGGUAUAGUAGUUCCUAUCAUACGGAUGGUAGAUAUUCAAGUGUUCUGAGUUUUCAUGAGAGGAAGAGUAGCGAGGCCUCAGUGUGGGAAAUGUGCAAUAUUUGUUUCUUUGUCUUGUUUUGAGAUGAAUAUGUAUAUUGUACAAACAAGUGACAAGUUGUUCGCAAAAACAACAAAAUCACCAAUGUCUUCCAUUAAAUGAUGUAUAGUUUCAUCUGCUUGCUUUAGGGUGGCGGGAUUUGUAGUGCCAGCGUAGACAUGGACAUGCAUGUACGGUAGCGAUGCUUGCUGAGUUUAAUAGUCGUAGUGACAUUCAGUAUAGGCUAUAAUAAAGUCAGUUAGUACAUAAAUAUAGGCAAAGAUUUAGUUAGUAAACACCAUAGAUGCAGUAUCCACACCUUGGUUAAUUUGAUUAAGAAGCGAGUAGUAGGGCUGCACGAUUCUGGCUAAAAUGAAAAUCACGUUUUUUUGUUGUUGUUUUUUUUUUAAUCAAGAUCGCGAUUUUCUCACAAUUCUAUAGAUGUAGAAUAAAGGUUUAUAUGAGAAGGCUAUUAUUAUUAUUGUUAAUUUUCAAAUAUAUGGUAAAACAACAUUAGCAUUAGGCCUGUGUCAUUCUAACGUUUUGUAUAGGCUUGGAAUGGUGGACUGGUUCAUGUCUUUAACAACAUUAUUAGAAAAUUUUUUUCACUGGUAAAAUUAAACCAGUAGUAUCGUCAUUAAUGGUCUAUCUACAAUAGAUAAUGUUACAUGUGGAAAAUUAACUAAAAUGCUCACAUUCACAUGUUUGUGCAAUAAUAGACCUUUUGAUUUGAAUAGUUUUGUGGAGCCCUUUGUGUUGAAUUCAUGCCUUUUAUGGUAACCUGUUGCAUGUUUUCUGACGCUUUAGUUCGAGUGCAUAUCUGAAUCAGUUCAUUUUUGUUCCUGUCAAUAUAAUUUAGUAGCUAUAACAACCACAACGAUCUCUUUAAAAGAAAAUAACAAUAGUUUAAAAAAUGAGCAACAGGAAACAUUAAAACAAUUUUAUAUACAUCAAAUAGCCAAAUUUUGCUGGAAAAAUGCUCUUUUGGUAACAUAUUUCAUUCGGUAUAAUUUGUAUCUUUAUUUUAAAGUAUUUUUGUUGGUCAGUUUUCUACAAAAUAAACGAAAAGAACGAAUGCAUUUUAGCUGAAGUGAUGUGCAAAUACUUCUUCAAUAAUAAGGGAAUUAUGAAUUAAAUUCAAGUAAACCUAUUAUAACAUAAAAUAUAGUAUUUCUAAUAAUUUUAUUUAUUUAAUAGAUUUGAGUUUGAAUUACAGUAUCACAAUACUAUUUGAUUCCACAAUACUUCAACUGGUAUAGUAUCUUAACGUAAAUUAAUAGUAUCGCGACAACCCUAAUAAAUAUAGUAUGGGACACGUAACAGCAUUUGGAGGUGUCCACAUUGCUGAGCAACUUGCCUAAAACAAUGUGAAGACUUGUGCGACUGCCCUUACGCUUCUCUCCUGACUUAAUAUACGUAGGUGAAUCGUACAACAGCUGGAUUAAGAUCAUGUGUAGGGUCGAAUCAAGAUCACGUUCUUUUAUCGAUUAAUCGUGCAGCCCUAGCAAGUAAGCAUUUACUCUUGGUUUUAGUUUUUAAGUGACAUACGCUGUAGUUUAUUCACUGGUAAUCACUAUUAGUUGAUGAUAACGUCAUAGCAUGCUGAGGAUUAGUAAAAUGGCGGUUGGUAUUGAUGUGCGACUAGCCAUGCUGAAAUGCAUAUAUAUGUUUCAUAAGCACUGUGUCAGUUUGUCCUAGUUUGUACUGUGCAAAAUGAAGUUCUGGGCUCAAAAUAGUCGACUCAGAUCAAAACGUCUGUCCCAAAUAGGCCAAAAUUUGGCUCAGUAGCUUAGAAUACGCAGGUGUUGAAGAACUUCAUUCAGUACCUGUUUCAAGGUUGCUAAAACUGUACUGGACAGAAAGAAUAGACUUCUCUCUUCCUAAAUAGAACUGUGUUUGUUUUCAUACCUCUAAUAUUGCAUUCUCCAUCAGGUAAUGUUGUCUCAAACUAGAGCUGUGGGUAGAUUAUUCCUAGUAGCAGAACAUGUAGAUUUUAACUCAACGUGUAGAAAAUUAAGUGGCAUAAAGCAAUUAUCAAAGCAUUGUAAUGUAGAUAAAUACCUCAAUGACUGGAAUGCAAACUAUAUAUUUUUGAAUAUACUCGAAAAAAUAUGCAAGCCAUGAUGUGUAUUAAGUUCAUCUUUUAGAAGCAAUAAUCAGUUUAUGCAUGAGUUAAAGUACCGGAACAGUUUAGUGGUGUUUGUAAUAUCUGUAGCAUAUCUGUGACAGUGACAAGUGUUUGAUCCUGAAUAUCUCAUUGCUCAUAAUUAAAAGUUUUCCAUUCCUCCAUUUUUCAUGGACACCAAAUAAAUAUGUUAAGGUAGCACUGGGGGUCUGACUAAUAAAGAGGAUUUUUUGGGUGGGUUGACGAAAGUUAGAAGAAUCAUCUACAUAUGCAGGGCUUUUGCUCUUAUUAAAUUUGCAUGUUUACCUAAUCAUUGUGGAAAGCACAUAAGCUGUAUGUUUAUUGACAGCUUAUUAUCAUUAACAGCAAUAUGAGCAGUGUUCUGGGUAGCAAUUUGUAAUACUGAUGACUCAUUAUCCUCAUGAAGCCUGGACAAACAUUUUACCACUUUACAUUUACAAACCCCAUUUGGAGUAAAGUAUUUUUUAAAGAGUGCAAAAAAAACCUGAUGCAUGGUAGAAAUGGAUAAGAAAUGUUUUGUGCUGCAUGCAAUAAUUGAGCUUUGCUUGAAAAUGUUUAUGCAGAAAUGUGAUGACACUAAAUCUAUGAGUGGACCAGUGUUGUGACUUUCUUUUUAAAUGCAUGGAAUCCCAAAGUUGAUCUCUACUGUAAAUUAUUCACAGACGUGUUCAUUGAGAAAUGUUUGAUUACUGUAUGAUGGAAUUGUAACAAGUUUGUUCUUCAAGAGGCAAAGUCAGAUGCAGUGUUUUAGCAAAGUCUUAACAAUUGUGAGUUGAAACGGGAAAAACUAUUUGUGUUAUGUUCAAUGCAAAUAAUAUUGCAGAAUAUAAGUUAAUAUGCUUUGCAGACCUGAUUUGCGUUGCUGAUUUUGCCUCUGAAUGUGAAACUCUAUGCUUAGUCUGAUCUAUGCACUACAGAAGCGUCCCGCAUGGUUUUGUACAAAAUAUUAAAUUUUAGCAAUAAAAAAAAGCAGCAUGGUGCCAAUCAU